CCUACGGGCGACAGCAGUGAGGAAUAUUGGUCAAUGGACGAGAGUCUGAACCAGCCAAGUAGCGUGAAGGAUGACUGCCCUAUGGGUUGUAAACUUCUUUUAUAUGGGAAUAAAAUGUUCCACGUGUGGGAUUUUGUAUGUACCAUAUGAAUAAGGAUCGGCUAACUCCGUGCCAGCAGCCGCGGUAAUACGGAGGGUCCGAGCGUUAUCCGGAUUUAUUGGGUUUAAAGGGAGCGUAGGUGGAUUGUUAAGUCAGUUGUGAAAGUUUGCGGCUCAACCGUAAAAUUGCAGUUGAAACUGGCAGUCUUGAGUACAGUAGAGGUAGGCGGAAUUCGUGGUGUAGCGGUGAAAUGCUUAGAUAUCACGAAGAACUCCGAUUGCGAAGGCAGUUCACUGGACUGCAACUGACACUGAGGCUCGAAAGUGUGGGUAUCAAACAGGAUUAGAUACCCUUGUAGUC
rnacentral:rRNA from 1 species